AAGGACUGUUUCUAGCAACACCAAGAGCACUGGGACCCUAUCAAGCAAAAGCAUCACAUCUGUCUUCACACAACCCCUGCUCUGCUCUGACCUGGGAUGGACGACGCAGGACACCGGAACCACUACACUCGCAUUUCCAGACCCCACCUCAGGUUAAAAUCAAAUCUAAAAAUCUCAGCCUUCACCUGACCUCUCUGAGAUGCUUCCUCUCUGUACCUUCCUAAGUGCACUGCAUUAAUUAACUUGUAACUUUUGUAUAUUUCUUGGUUAUGGGUAAAAUCUCUUUACCACUGGUGCCACCAGCCUCUCACACACCAUACCUCCCACAGGGCACUAACGACUUAGGGAGACUCAGUCUCUCAAAAAAAAAAAAAAAAAAAAAAAGAUACUAAAAAUGUAUUUAUCAGACCCCAGUGCUACUGACAUUUGGGGCUGGAUCCUUGUUAGUUUGUUAGGGGGACUAACUAUCCUGUAGGACAGAGGUAGGAUAUUUUGCAGUGCCUCUUGCCAUUACCCUAGAGAUUUUUCAGUUGUCUCUGUGUGGCUUUUUGUUUGUUUGUUUGUUUGUUUGUUUGUUUUUUGAGACAGGGUCUCACUAUAUAGUUGAGACUGACCUGGAACUCUCACUAUGUAGUCCAGGCUGGUUCUCGAACUCACAGCGAUCCUCCUGCCUCAGCCUCCAGAGCUGGGAUUAUAGGUGUGCGCCACCACACCCGGCUUUUUAGUUGUCUCUGUACAUCACCAGAUAUCCCUGGCUGGCAACAUUGCCUCCUGUUAAGGACAAGUCCCCCUCUGUGACAUUCUCCCACGGGGCAACCUGACAAUUGGAUUGUUCAGUCAGAACAAACCCAAACUCAGUCUGCUUCUGCGAGCUUCUCUGCCUGCGUGCCUCAGUCUCGCCUCUGACUUGGCGGAGUGGGCUCCAAGCCAUCUCGAGGGCCCUGCCUGCCCUGGGCUUGCUUCCCCCAUGCCCUGCUCACGAAAGAGGCCCCAAGGCCAGGUCAAUGUGCCCGGCGCCCACGCCUGCCACAGCCCACCAAGCUCCUCCACGGCUUCUAGUCAAGAACCACACCCUUCCACAGGAGAAGCAGACGUAAAAUAUGAGGGAAAUAGGUGUGCACUGUCUCCCAGAAGAGCUCCGAAGGCAGAGGAAGGGACAAGAGGCAUCGCAGCCACGAAACACCAGCAGACUGUUUCAAAAUUGUCUGCCCUUGUCCUGUUUCUAUAAGCUUGCUUGCCGCAUCACUAAAGAGACAACUCCCCUUUGACAAACUGUAUAAAAUCUGGAGCUUUUCUUUGUUCAAGGCUCUUCCCUUGGACAUCAGUCUGUUAAACUGGUGUUCACCUAAAAUAAAGUCCUCCUGUUUCCCAUUGGUCUCUCUUGUCUCUUGGAUCCUGCAAAACUCUUAUUCCUAAUCCCUGGAAAAUGAAUGUGACCUGACUUGGAAAAAGGGUUUUCAUACCCAUAAUUCAGGAUCUCGAGAUGAGUUUACCCUGGAUUACUGUGUUGGAAUGACAGGUGUCUAUUGAGAGAUAGAAGAGAACAAGGGAGGACCACAUGAAGGUAGAAACAGAAACUGGCACACGAUGCAGCCCCAAGCCAAAGGGAUCACAGAAGCUGGAAGAUGCAAGGGUUCUCUCCUUCACCCUUCAGUGGAGCAGGGUCACACAAUCUCUCGAUUCUUGUCUUCUGGUCUUCAGAGCUAUGAGAUAAUAUACGCCUCUGUUGUUUCAAGUCUCCAAGUUUGUGAUUAUUUGUUACUGCAGCCAGAAAAAACUAACAUAGCUGCCAAGUUUGUAUUAGUCUGCUCAUUAUGGAAACCCAGCAACUUUCUCAUGUGAUUAUUACACCCACAAGGGCCACAAC
ensembl:lincRNA